CUUAUACAUACUCGGUCAUCCAAACUAGGUAAUUUUUUUCCUGUUGAUUAUCUUUUAUGUAUGAAGGUGUUCUGUUCUGUUCUUUUCUUUCUUUCUUUUUUUUUUUUUUUUUUUUUUUGGAAGCCAAGACUAUACUAAGUAUAGAAACUACACUUGUUUCUGCACUUCCUUUCUCCUCUUUCCUAAGUGAUUCUAAGCAGGGUAAUUAGCAGACAGAGUGUUGAGACUUGUUUCCACAAAGUAAUUUUCAUAGCUCUUUUCAUUAUUAGCUCCAUAGCAAAAUGGAAUGGUACGUGACUUAGGGUAGGUGAUAUUUUUAUUUUGUUAAAUAAUUUUCCAAGAAACAGAAUAUGCUGUAUAUUAUCAUAAAUUUCUUUGAUAAAAUGUAUUUUUUAAAUCUUUUAAUCUUACUCCUCUCCUCCAAAUAAAAUCAGGAAUCUCUAGCAAAAGAUUUGGAUUCUAUCUGAUAGGAUUACAUUUAGUCACUGUGAAGUCUGGUCAGCCCGUGUGUUGUGGAUACAGGACCUCUAGGAUUGCUGCUGUGCAGAAUGGCUGGACCAGUGUGACUCAGGCCCUUCCAUGGGAUGCACACCCGGCUGCUUCAUGGUACCUGCAGUAUGCAAGACAGUUUGACUUUGGUGAGCACGUAGUGCAUGGAUGCUCUCAUUUAAGAUUGAACUAUAUUUAUUUUUAAAAGGUAUUACCCCUCUUCUCCCAGGUUCCCUUCAUAUAUUAAGACAUAAUGGCUUUGGAGGGACCAAAAGAAACCCAGUGGGGUGCGGACGGGCCCUGUGGGUUUCAGUGAGUUAAACUCCACAACUAAGUCACUAGAUAAUGGUACAUUUAAGUAUUCUGACUUUAAUAAUAUAACACAUUUCACACUUAUCCAUACAGUAACAAUGUAAUAUGGUAAUGUAAAUAAAAUUGCUUUUGAUAUUCAGAAAUAACAAUUUAAUUUUUUUAAUUUGUUUACAGUCCUGGGAAAAGUUUGCCAAAAUAAAGGAAAAACCUUUAGUAUUAGUGAUUUUAACAUAGAAUCAUUGGAGGAUAUUGAAGACUGAUGCAGCAAACUGAGCUCUUAUUUUUAACCAUUGUAAAGGCUACAUUAGAGUAAGGUGUCAGAGCAGACAGCCAAGGCUGUGAGGCUGAGAUUGCAGCUGAUGUAGACGUGGCAGGAGGCCCUGUGGCAAAGCUGCCAGGGUCUGGCUUCCCCACAGCAGUGCUGGGGCAGCGGGGGCAGCACAGUGUGAGGGAGACUUCUGUAGCUCUGCCUGCCUGGCUUUUUUUUCCCUCCCUUUUUGGAGACCUUGUGCAUCUAAUGGUGGACAUUACUGCCCGUUGCUUCCCCCAUAAAACAGGACAACUUGUAAAUGUAGCGUUCUUCCCAUAGCGGGUUUCCCAUAGUUCUUAAACUCCCCAUUUGGGCUCCCCUUGGAAAGGUCGAAUGGAGCCACUUUUGAAUGUGAAAACACUUCUGACCAGUACAUCCCAGGAAACUCGUGAAGAGUUCCAGUUUUAUCUAAUACACAGAACUUCCAACUUUUGAAGAAAGGCUAACUUUGCAAGCAACUGAACGUACGGAACUUAAGUGUCACCAGCUACCCCUCCCCCAAAGGAGACUAAUUACAGGAGCAGCUGAAGGUCCAGUUGAGGCCCCUUUUACACAAUCUGGUGUGAGUUCUGUGAUUCAUUUUCAAUCUGUGUUUCCUUGACUUAGAAGAAGAGAAACAGUACUGCUGUGCUUAUGUCUGCUUGGCUGGUACCCCACCACCACACCCCUCUGGGCUCCUGUGCCCUCCACUGUGGGGAGCAUAGAGCCCAGACAGUGCGGACUGCCACUGUCCCAGUGCAGGGUAUGCACCAGCAGCCCACUCCUCGGGGGCUCGGGGUUGUGAGUUUCCUGUGGGAGAUCUGGCUUCUGAUUCCCAGGAGUGGGGGGUUUGUGUUUUUCUUUUAUUUUUUUCUACAUUUACCCCCAAGCAUAUUGAAGCAUGUCUCAUUCAAUGUUAUGCAAUGGACGCAUACGGAAAUCCACUUAGUGUCAGCCGCACCGUUUUUUAGUGUGGUGUAUUCACCUGUAAAUAGUUUGUGUAAAAUUUGACAGAAAAGUCUAUUUACUACAUUGUAAAUACAUGUGAUGAUAUAUUGUAUUAUUUUGCUUUUUUGUAAAGCGGUUAGUUGCUGUACAUGGAUAACAAACAAAAAUUUGAUUAUUCUUGUGCUCCUAUUGUUAACUUCUUCCUGCGACUGCGUUACAUCAUUUAAAGGAAAAGCUGUGUAUUGUGAACUGACCUUGUAUAUGGUUAACUUACCCCUCCCAGCCAGCAGUUCCCUGCCUGCAGCCAUGUUGAUACUGUACCCAGCAGGAGAGAUCCUGCCUGACACACAGACUCCAUUGCUGUGGGGAAAUGCCCAGACCUCUGUCUGAGAGAGCGUUACCCUCACUUGCUCCUGUCCUGUGUACACCCUCCUACCCACCUCCCCCCCCCCUUUUUUUUAAGUAAAAUGUAAAUUCCAUCUGCUCUAAA
rnacentral:lncRNA from 1 species